CUGUGAUUCAUUAUUUUAGCUAGAAUUUAAAUUUAUUCCUUCAUCCUCUUUGCAAUUAUUCACACAUCUCCAUUAUUUAUGCCAAGGAUCCUGGUUUCCAGGGCAGUGUUUUAAGUUUUCUUAAAAAAAAAAAUAAAAAUUUAUUAAGUUAAAAUACACGAGCUGAUUUACAGGGAAAAAUAUUACUUCGUUUCACAGAAUGUAAAGGUUCACAGUUUUUCUGAUAUUUAUAUGCUCUUAAGUCAUGGUCCAUCGUUCAAAAGAUGCACCCCUAGAACAGCCAUGGACCAGGCCCAGCAGUGUGCUCAGGGGGGUGUCCCACCUUCAGUUGAUGCUCAUGGUGAAGUCAGGAGUCGUCAACCUCAGAGCAUUUCAGACUCAAAAAUAAAUUUCCAGGCACCACAUAAUCAGGCUGCAGGCUCAUGAACGAUAAGAAAAAAAAAGAACUUUGAAUAUUAUGCUAGACUAAAGAUCAAUAGACCGGAAUAUCAGAUACCUGCUCUCAGACUCGCACCAGAGCCUAGAUCAUCCAGUUUGAUGCCUCCUCAAAGGAGCUUCCACUACUCAAGGAAGGGAGGAAGAAAGGAAAGAGGACAGGCUACCUCGGUCUUCUGGAAGAUUCCAGGUAUGGCCGUACUGUGAGUCCUAGGCAGCUAGGGGCCAG
rnacentral:lncRNA from 1 species